UGGGUUGUGGCUCAGAGCUAGAGUGCUCGCCUAUGACGCGUGAGGCACUGGGUUUGAUCCUCAGCACCACAU
rnacentral:tRNA from 1 species